rnacentral:rRNA from 1 species
UACGGGGGGGGCAAGCGUUGAUCGGAAUUACUGGGCGUAAAGGGUUCGUAGGUGGCCUGCUAAGUCGGACGUGAAAUCCCUCGGCUCAACCGGGGAACUGCGUCCGAUACUGGUGGGCUCGAGUGCAGGAGAGGAACGCGGAAUUCCAGGUGUAGCGGUGAAAUGCGUAGAUAUCUGGAGGAACACCGGUGGCGAAGGCGGCAUCCUGGACCAAUUCUGACGCUGAGGAGCGAAAGCCAGGGGAGCAAACGGG